AUGGAGGCCUACAAGGUCUGGGUGCGGAAGAACCGGGACCUCGUCCGCUCCCUCNNNNNNNNNNNNNNNGGGGUGACAUGGAUACUUCCUGAGCGCUUCGCUAACUCCGAGAUUGCCCCGGAAGCAGUAUAUGCACUUCUGGGCAUUGUAAGUUCUGUCAACCAGCAUAUAAUUGAGACACCAACUGAUGGUCACUCACUGGCCUCCAAGGAACAAUCUAUCCCAUGGGCUCUUGUUGUAUCUAUACUCAAGGAUGUCGAAGCAGUUGUUGAAGUUGCCGCCCAGCACUUUGUUGGAGAUGAUCGCAAAUGGGGCUUCCUUGCUGUUACAGAAGCAGUGAAAGCAUGUGUCAGGUUAGCCGCUUUCAGGGAGAAUGGCUACAGGAUGCUCCUACAAGGAGGGGAGGUGGAAAACGAAGAGGAGGAUGUUCUUGAAGACAAUCAGGGAGUCAAGACUAAUGGAGUGCCAGUAAUCUAUCCGGUCAAUGGACAUUCCCAAAAUGGCCAUUGGAUCAUGUCUGAUGGUCCGGAUGGAAAACCUGGAAUUAUAUCUAAGACUCUGGAGGGAAGAGCAGUAGCUGCUUUAAACAGGUUUGGUCAGAAUGCAAAGAUGUUGUCAGAUCCCACGUGGAUGAGCAGGCUCCAACCUUCUCCUGUUCCUCCUGUGAUGGAGAUUGAGAAGCCAACUCUCGCAACCAUUUGGUCUUCUAAAGGGAUUUCUGGGCGCUUAUUCAUGUUAGGGGAGGCCGUCCACAUAUUCAGACCACUUGUAUACGUACUCUUGAUUAGAAAGUUUGGCAUCAAAUCUUGGACCCCGUGGUUGGUCUCACUAGCUGUGGAGCUCGCAAGCCUUGGCAUUCAUUCGCAUGCAACAGAUCUGAAUCAUAGAGCUGGGAAAGUUCAUCAGCUCUCGUCUGCUGAGAGGGAUGAGUUGAAAAGGCGAAAAAUGAUGUGGGCACUUUAUGUCAUGAGAGAUCCAUUCUUUGCCAGCUACACCAGGCGUCAUCUUGAGAAGGCUGAGAAAGCACUUAGUCCGGUGCCGCUUAUCGGUUUCAUCACAGGUAAACUCGUGGAACUAUUGGAGGGGGCUCAGUCGCGGUAUACAUAUACAUCAGGGUCGUAG
rnacentral:rRNA from 1 species